CGCCUAACACAUGCAAGUCGAGCGAGAAAGGGGAGCAAUCCCCGAGUACAGCGGCGUACGGGUGAGUAACACGUGGGUUACCUACCCUCUGGUGGGGAAUAACCCUGGGAAACCGGGGCUAAUACCGCAUAACUCCGAGAGGAGAAAGCCGAAAGGCGCCGGAGGAAGGGCCCGCGGCCGAUUAGCUAGUUGGUGAGGUAACGGCUCACCAAGGCUGAGAUCGGCAGCCGGCCUGAGAGGGCACACGGCCACACUGGCACUGAAACACGGGCCAGACUCCUACGGGAGGCAGCAGUGGGGAAUCUUGCACAAUGGGGGAAACCCUGAUGCAGCGACGCCGCGUGAGCGAUGAAGCCCUUCGGGGUGUAAAGCUCUUUCGGCAGGAACGAUAAUGACGGUACCUGCAGAAGAAGCUGCGGCUAACUACGUGCCAGCAGCCGCGGUAAUACGUAGGCAGCAAGCGUUGUUCGGAGUUACUGGGCGUAAAGAGUAUGUAGGCGGUUUUGCAAGUUCGGUGUGAAAUCUCCCGGCUAACUGGGAGGGUGCGCCGAAACUGCAGGCUAGAUUCCGGAAAGAAGCGAAUCUGUGUAGCGUGAAUGCUAAUUCAGGAGAACAC
rnacentral:rRNA from 1 species